rnacentral:rRNA from 1 species
AAUAUACGCUUGUCUCAAAGGUUAAGCCAUGCAUGUCUAAGUACACACUUUCAUAAAGUGAAACCGCAAAAGGCUCAGUACAACAGCUGUAAUUCCUUAGAUCAUAAACUCAGUUACUUGGAUAACUGUGGAAAAUCUAGAGCUAAUACAUGCAUCAAACGGGGACCUCACGGAACCCGUGCAAUUAUUAGACAAACCAAUGAUCUUCGGAUCUAUAUUGGUGGAACUCUGGAUAAUUUGGCUGAUCGUAUGGCCCUGUGCCGACGACAGGUCUUUCAAAUGUCUGCCCUAUCAACUAUUGAUGGUAGUAUAGAGGACUACCAUGGUUGCAACGGGUAACGGGGAAUCAGGGUUCGAUUCCGGAGAGGGAGCCUGAGAAAUGGCUACCACAUCUAAGGAAGGCAGCAGGCGCGUAAAUUACCCAAUGCCAGUACGGCGAGGUAGUGACGAAAAAUAACAAUACAGGACUCUUUUAUGAUGUUCUGUAAUUGGAAUGAAUUAACUUUAAAUCCUUUAAUGAGGAUCAAGUGGAGGGCAAGUCUGGUGCCAGCAGCCGCGGUAAUUCCAGCUCCACUAGCGUAU